AUGGAUACUAGGGGAUACGCGAAUCGACUCGUGUAUGCUCGCAGUUCACACAGUAAGUAUCCCGCCUGGGGAGUACGCUCGCAAGGGUGAAACUCAAAGGAAUUGACGGGGGCCCGCACAAGCGGUGGAGCAUGUGGUUUAAUUUGAUGCAACGCGAAGAACCUUACCAGGACUUGACAUACCAUAGACAUUUUUAUGAGAGUAAUUAUUUCCUUCGGGACUAUGGAUACAGGUGGUGCAUGGCUGUCGUCAGCUCGUGUCGUGAGAUGUUGGGUUAAGUCCCGCAACGAGCGCAACCCUUGUCUUUUGUUACCCCUAUCGAGAGAUAGGGGGAAUCGAAAGAGACUGCCGGUCAUAAACCGGAGGAAGGUGAGGGAUGACGUCAAGUCAGCCUGCCCCCUACGUUUUGGGCCACACACGUGGUUCAAUGGGCAAGGCAAUAAGUAGGUAACCUGGGAAGGUUCGCAAAUUUUAGAAACCUGCCCUCCAUUUGGGAUGGGGGGUGCCACUUCGCCUCCUGGAAUUCGGAAUCGUUAGUAAUCGCCGGUCAGCCAUACGGCGGUGAAUACGUUCCCGGCCUGUACACACCGCCCAAGCUUC
rnacentral:rRNA from 1 species